GGCCGGCAACCGGUGACACCUGGGGGUCUUGGGGUCUUGCUGGAGGUUGGGAUGGGCAAAGGAAGGGCCGGAAUGGGAGAAAAAUGGCCGAAAACGCGAAACAGUGCAGGCUGCAGGCGGACCGACGGACCGGCGACCGGUUCCUUCACGGCGGCGCCCAGGCCGGCCGGAGGCUCUGUUCAAGACAAAAUUGGGCUCGUUGGAACGUUCUGUCUCUCCCGGUCACGGUGAUAGGUGGCUCGUUGGCUGAUUCAUCUGGUAAGACCACUUUUGACUCGAUUCUUCACCGAAGGGUCAGCUGGAGCAGAAACUGGAGAGAGGGAAAACGAGGAAGAGAGGAGCUCGUCCGCUUGGAGGCCGAAUGGGGGAGAGAGAGAGAU
rnacentral:lncRNA from 1 species